rnacentral:tRNA from 2 species
GCCCAUCAAGCUCAGACGGCGGAGCAUCCGGUUGAAGCCCGGGAGGUGCGCGGUUCGAUUCCGCGGGUGGGUGC